GGUUGCUGCCCUUGACUACUAUGAAGACUGGUGUGGGAAGGGUCGCUUUGGAUGCACUUGAGCUGGGGUCCCCAACCCCUUAGCCAUGGAGCCGUAAGGAGCCACACAGCAGGUGGGACCAUCCAGUUUCAGGAAAACAAGCUUAACACGCCCACUGAUUCUACAUUAUGCUCCUACCUCCCGGCAGCCUGGCCAGGCCCAGAACUCUCUCCAGUCAGCCUCUACAGACCAAGCUCAUGACUCACAAUGGCCUAUUUAGGCCCAUACCCUACCUCACGGCAGUCUCCGCAGAUGAGCCUACUGCCUCACAACAGCCUCCACAGGCACAGCUCCGUCGUUACAAUGGCCUCUUUAGACCCAGCUCCUGCCUCCCAGCCUUCUCUCCAGGCCCUGAACUUUCUCCGUGGGACCAUCCAGUUUCAGGAAAACAAGCUUAACACGCCCACUGAUUCUACAUUAUGCUCCUACCUCCCGGCAGCCUGGCCAGGCCCAGAACUCUCUCCAGUCAGCCUCUACAGACCAAGCUCAUGACUCACAAUGGCCUAUUUAGGCCCAUACCCUACCUCACGGCAGUCUCCGCAGAUGAGCCUACUGCCUCACAACAGCCUCCACAGGCACAGCUCCAUCGUUCCAAUGGCCUCUUUAGACCCAGCUCCUGCCUCCCAGCCUUCUCUCCAGGCCCUGAACUUUCUCCCUGAGACACACGCCUUGGGAGCUAAGUGGUUGCUGCACUUGACUACUAUGAAGACUGGUGUGGGAAGGGUCGCUUUGGAUGCACUUGAGCAGGGGUCCCCAACCCCUGAGCCAUGGAGCCGUAAGGAGCCACACAGCAGGUGGGACCAUCCAGUUUCAGGAAAACAAGCUUAACACGCCCACUGAUUCUACAUUAUGCUCCUACCUCCCGGCAGCCUGGCCAGGCCCAGAACUCUCUCCAGUCAGCCUCUACAGACCAAGCUCAUGACUCACAAUGGCCUAUUUAGGCCCAUACCCUACCUCACGGCAGUCUCCGCAGAUGAGCCUACUGCCUCACAACAGCCUCCACAGGCACAGCUCCAUCGUUCCAAUGGCCUCUUUAGACCCAGCUCCUGCCUCCCAGCCUUCUCUCCAGGCCCUGAACUUUCUCCGAAUCCAUUCGGGAUACCACACUGUGUUUACGUGCCAUUCCUCUUUAGGUGUCUCCUGGCUGGGGCAGCUUCUCGGACCUCCCUUGUUUUAAAGGCCUUGAUGGUUUUCAGAAGUUGCGGCCAGAUAGUCUGUGGAAUGUCCCUCCUGUGGAACUUGUCUGGUGUUUUCUCACAAUGCACCAGGUUAUGGGUUGUUGGGAAGAUCACAGAGGUCUCACUUGUUUGGAGAAAGGCUGCAGAUGGAGGAGGAGUGACAUGCCCUACUUUUAAGGAGGAAGGAGCCAGAAAACCCACCCCAACAUGAUGCUUGAAAUCCUCUCUGGCUUUGUUUUGAAGCGCACUGCCCUGAGUUACAGCAUCUUUAUUGAAAGGGAGAACCAGGAAAAAGGAAAGAAAAGAAAAGAAAAAAGACCAGGAGUAGAAAGGAGAAAUGGCAGCACAAUCCCUGCUGGGAAUCUCUGCUGAGAGCACAGCCUCCCAGGGACUAAGCCUGUGGGAACAAUGCCAAGCUUCCUGGAUUUCUUCAACAGUUUUACAAAGCCUGCACAAAAGGUCAUGUAAGUUUUGAAGACUCAAAAAAAAGAAAAAAAAAAAAAGAUAUGUCCAAGUAAAGCCAGACUCGGCAGCUUCUUUCAAUGUUGGCAUGAUCCCGGAGGGCUGAUCCAUCCCAGUAGCAUAAUGUAGUUAAAUCAGACCGCAAGGUUGAAAACGCUUUGGCAGAAUUCAAAGCGCCCUACACAUAUAAAUUGAAUGCACCAUUGUUGUUAUUCUGUAUUUCCGUGACCUAGCACAAAACGCAACUUCGAAUGAGCAGAGAAAAGCAACUCCGACAAUCAAGCAAACCUCUGUCAACGUCCUCAGAAGUGCUAAGUGCACAGCGGGGCUUGUAGGUUUCUGUGGGGCUCUAGAAAAGUCAGCUAAAAUGGUGAGCAGGAUAAAUUUUCUGUACUGAUCAAGGCCAAUUUAUUUUCCAAAAAUCAACAGAGAAGGCAAGCAGGGAUUAAAGAAACGCAAAGAAACACCACUGCUGGUUUUGGUGGGGCUCCAAGUGUCCCAGGUGUGAUGGACACCAUACAAUACUGACAGUUUUCUUUUCUUUCUUUCUUUCUUUCGAGACAGAGUUUCACUCUUGUUGCCCAGACUGGAGUGCAACGGUGUUAUCUCGGCUCACUGCAACCUCUGUCUCCCUGUCAUAUACAUGUUCAAGGGAUUAUCCUGCCUCAGCCUCCCAAGUAGCCGGGACUAAACACCCAGCUAAUUUCUGUAUUUUUAAAAAUAGAGACAGGGUUUCACCAUGUUGGUCAGGUUGGUCUCGAACUCCUGACCUGAAGUGAUCCACCCACCUUGGCCUCCAAAAGUGCUGGGGUUACAGGCAUGAGACACCGUGCCCAGCCAGUACUGCAGGGUUUCUGAGAGGGUGGGAGUCCAGACAGGGCACAGCCUGCCACUUGGCAAAAGAUUAGAGAAGAAUGCUGACAUUUAAUGAGUAAUUAUGAUAUGCACAAGGAGUAUACUGAUAACACUCAUGUGUAUGCUAUUUUCCUAUAAUAUAGUUGGCAAAGACCUAUUUCUCCAAGUUCCGUAUUGGAGAUCCCAAAUAUCUUGUAGUGAGGGGUGAUUUUGCCCAAUGCAAGAUGGAUAAUCUUUACCCAGGGUCAGGGUGCAGUGGGAGAUCAGGAUCUCCAAAUUUAGUUUGCUAGAACGUCAAUGCACCAAAUUUGAGGAAGCAAGCUGAGAAAAGCAUGAAAUUCUUGCCUUUCCCUCCAUAUAAUUUAAGUAUUUAGACCAGUAUUUCAACCUAAGCAUCUCCUUUGGAAAAGAAUUCUGAUAGAAGGAAUCAUCCCAUAAGUAAGGUGUAUAUAUUUGCUAUUAAUGUUAUAAAUAUUUUGCUCAUCACCACAUGAUAAAAGAACAAGUUUAAAAAAAAAAUGGGUUAUCUGAGGACACAUCCUGGAACCCACUUCCAGAUACUCUAACUCUGCAGAUUUGGGGCAGGGCCUAGGUAAACCCCUCUCCAUCUCCCAUACCACAAUGAUUCCAAUGCAGUAGUCCACAGACCACACUGCCAGACGCACUAAACUAGGAGCAGAGAGAACUGGCUAAUGAGGGUCUGAGAGGCACAACUGGACCCAGAACCUGAGGGCCCCCUUAUUCUCAGCUAAAGAAGUGGCCUUAUACUUUAGCAAAGGGAAACAAUUGGUACCUCUAACCAGAGGAGUCCUUGGGUGGCUGUGUGCUGAAAGGCUGAUUGGAAUAAGAAGGGGCUGACAGGAGGACCCCUUGCCCAAGAAGCUUCUCCAUGGGUCCAGUGUACAGUUAGUGAAAUCUGAACUACAGGUGCAAAUUUGAAGCCUGAAAAUAUAACAUGUUAUUAAAAAGUCACUAGCAACAGCACCAUGUGUUUAGAACUUAGACUAACAAGAUUUAUUCAAAGAAAACUAUUUUAUCACUGAUGGUGCUUAGCAUUGAGAAUGCAUGAGGAUAAUAAAAAUCAGACUGACCUUUAGUUAGUUUUACUAUUAUUCUAAAUUCUCUGCAGACAGUGUGUGCACUGACUGUCUCUAACUUGGUGUGAAUAGCUCCCACCACCUGCUUUUUAUCAUGAUCCUGGUGGGGAGCCCUAAUGAAGUUCAAGGUUUUGGCCAAUGCAAUACAUUCUUAAAACACCACCACAAUCAAAAUAUGAAACACUUUUGUUAUCUCAAGUGGUUUUCUCUGACCUUGCAAGCUGGUCCUCAAUUUCCACUCCUGCUCUUAUCAACCUCUGAUCUCCUUUCUAUUACUACAGAUUUGAUGUGCCUUGCCUAGAGUGUCAUAUACAUAGAAACAUACCCCAAAAAUAGCAGGUUAAAAAUCAAACAGCUCAUCAUGGCAGUAGGAGGAAAACGCUCCUGAACUGGCUUCUUGAAUUUCCUCUGGAUGUGAUGGCAUUUGGGGGCUUAGAUUACAGAAUAAACCAGUAUGUUUAAAUGCCUAAAGCUUUACACAAAUGUUCAGUAGCAUUUAAUAGCAGGUUGGUUUAUAUAUUGACUAUACGUGAAAUUAGUUGCUAUAAUUAUCAUAAAUAAUAAUU